UACAGAGGGGGCAAGCGUUGUUCGGAAUUACUGGGCGUAAAGGGCGCGUAGGCGGCCCGCUAAGUCGAACGUGAAAUCCCCAGGCUCAACCUGGGAACUGCAUCCGAUACUGGAUGGCUUGAAUCCGGGAGAGGGAUGCAGAAUUCCAGGUGUAGCGGUGAAAUGCGUAGAUAUCUGGAGGAAUACCGGUGGCGAAGGCGGCAUCCUGGACCGGCAUUGACGCUGAUGAGCGAAAGCUAGGGGAGCAAACGGG
rnacentral:rRNA from 1 species